rnacentral:rRNA from 1 species
AAUCGUUACAACUUUCAACAAUGGAUCUCUUGGCUCUGGCAUCGAUGAAGAACGCAGCGAAAUGCGAUAAGUAGUGUGAAUUGCAGAAUUCAGUGAAUCAUCGAAUCUUUGAACGCACAUUGCGCCCCUCGGUAUUCCGUGGGGCAUGCCUGUUCGAG